GCCAGACUGCCCAGGCUUGAAUCCUGCUGUGGCACAUAUUGCUGUGUAACCUUAGGUGAAUUACUAAAACCUUCUGUGCCUCAGUUUACCUCUCUGCAAAAUGAAGUUAAAAUAUCAACUACCUCUUAAGGUUUUUGUGAGGAUUAACUGAGUGAAUAUUUGUUAAGCACUUACACAUUGCCUGUCAGAUGGUAAGCGCGAAGUGUUUGUUCAAGAGGAGAUUUUUGUCUUUGGAGGAGGAAAGUGAUGUGACAAAAAUUGAACAGCAGAAUGCUCCCUCUGGGGUCAGUGAGAAUGCUGGACUAGUGAGAAGCCCUGUGUGUACGGGAGACUGGGGAAAGGUGGAGGCUGUAGUGAAAGCAAUUAGAAAGCCAAUAGAAUGAGCCACUUUCAUUCAGUAUUCCAUUCAUUUUCCUUCUGCUAAUUGGCCUCUCCUUGUUGCUUGGUCAGAGUUAAAUCUCAGUGCACAAGCUCCCAUUUUGUUCUCUUCCAUCUUCUGAGAAAAGAAAUUAUCAGCCAGGCAAUUCGGCCGUCAGGCAUCUUCCAGCUGCUCUGCAGUGGGCACAGUAAGACAUGUUGUCGAUAUUUGGAUAGAUGAUGGUUCUUCAUCUUGCCUACAUCUUAACCUCUGUAAUUUGAGGAAAGCGUCCAAUUCACUGCUUUCUGUGUGGAGGUGGCUAAUAAACAACAAACACACGUAAAAAAAACCCAGCAACAGCAUAUCUGAUCAGCAGUCCUGCUGUAUGUAAAAUCCUGUGUCUGUUGCUGACGAAAUGGUAUGAGCCUGAUAAUUAAGCCGGAAGUUCUUCCUGUAGAGUAGAGGAAAUGGGAUUUUCAUUUUUAACCUCUAAUCUGCUUUUCAUCACGUGAAAUGUACAUGAAACACACAUCCAGCAAAUGGUAGGUUAACAGUAGACCCUGGCUAUGUGUAAUAUUUGGUAUUUCAGGACACUCUGAAGUUCUGCUUUCUAAGAUUCAAGUCAAGAUAAAAGGCUCACGUGAGUAUUGUAACGCACAGCCCUGGUGGUGAGUCUUUGCUUCAAACUUGGAAGCAAUAUUGAUUGAAGCUCUGAGCAAGGGCCCUCGUUUCUGUCUCUGGAUUUGUCGAAAUGAUCCAUCUAAAAGGCUGUAGGCACGUUAUGCUCCCUCAGACCUAUGAAGGUAAGACAGUUGUUAAAAGGAAGGCACAGAAUCGGUGUCUGCAGAGACAGUUUCACGAUGAUAUGGAGUUUGAUUCUAGGCCUGUGUUUUCAGAUCCCAGCAUCUCCAGUUGCCUUUUCCCCACAACAAGCACUACACAUGGCCCGUCAGUUGUCCUUCCACAGUCCUGAAUUGAGAACCUUUGUUCUAGAGACCGCCUGGACCUUAGGCAGGAGGGAUCUAAGGAGUUGGAGGUGUGCAUUGGCUCAGCUUUCCCAUGAUUAUUGCUAUUGUCUGGCUUUGACAUGGCUACACUUUUUGAAGCUGAUUUCUCUACCAGCAUCAAAGACCUGAAUCCCCUUUGACCCACUUCUGAUGACAGAAGUCCAGCCUUCUUUCCCUGUGGUUGAAUGAGUUCACGACUUGUUAAUCUGCCCAGAUCAUCACAGUCUCUGAAAGACCAGAGCUUUUUAUUUUUUGCCCAUGAAGAAUUGGAGCCUGGCUUGGUGAAUUGCCGCUAGAAUUCCUUGGUCUUAACUAGGUGUUCUAUAUAGCACUAUUCCUGAAUGCCCCCUUUCGCUAGUCUCGCUCCUGGGACGUGUUCUUGCCUCUGUUGGGUGUCUCUGCGAUGAGGUCUGCUCAGAACAACGACCAGGCGCCAUGUUCCCAAGUAGCUUUGCACUUGGUUGAUUAGACCUGAUGCACAUGAAGCUGGGUCUUAUCUUGUUUUCCCACUGUUUAUUGGAGCGGAGAAGCUGGAUCUAGUUCUUGAUUUGGGCCCCUUCAAAUCUACUUCCCUCUGUUCUAACUGUAGGUCAUUGAAUUCUACGUAGCCCUUUACAUAAUGAAAAUUAUUAAUUCAAAUGAACCCAUUUUGAAGACCAGGCUGCUGGGCAUUCUGCUUCUGGACAGGGAUGGUGGAUCUGAAC
rnacentral:lncRNA from 1 species